rnacentral:rRNA from 1 species
UUCGAUUCCGGAGAGGGAGCCUGAGAAAUGGCUACCACAUCCAAGGAAGGCAGCAGGCGCGUAAAUUGCCCGAAUCCUGACACAGGGAAGUAGUGACAAGAAAUAACAAUACAGGGCUACUUCUAGUCUUGUAAUUGGAAUGAGUACGACUUACAUCUCUUCACGAGGAUCAAUUGGAGGGCAAGUCUGGUGCCAGCAGCCGCGGUAAUUCCAGCUCCAAUAGCGUAUAUUAAAGUUGUUGCAGUUAAAAAGCUCGUAGUCGGAUUUCGGGGCGGGGCGAGCGGUCUGCCGAUGGGUAUGCACUGUUCGGCGCGUCCUUCUUUCCGGAGACCGGUCCUACUCUUAGCUGAGCGGGGUCGGGAGACGGAAUAUUUACUUUGAAAAAAUCAGAGUGUUUAACGCGGGCAUCUCGCUUUUGAAUGGAUUAGCAUGGGAUAAUGAAAUAGGACUCGGGUGCUAUUUUGUUGGUUUCGAAAACCGGAGUAAUGAUUAAAAGGGACAGUCAGGGGCACUAGUAUUCUGUUGAGAGAGGUGAAAUUCUCAGACCAAUGGAAGACGAACCACUGCGAAAGCAUUUGCCAGGGAUGUUUUCACUGAUCAAGAACGAAAGUUAGGGGAUCGAAGACGAUCAGAUACCGUCGUAGUCUUAACCAUAAACCAUGCCGACUAGGGAUUGGAGGGUGUUCUAUUUGACUUCUUCAGCACCUUACGGGAAACUAAAGUCUUUGGGUUCCGGGGGGAGUAUGGUCGCAAGGCUGAAACUUAAAGGAAUUGACGGAAGGGCACCACCAGGAGUGGAGCCUGCGGCUUAAUUUGACUCAACACGG